rnacentral:rRNA from 1 species
GACGAACCGUGCGAACGUUGCUCGGAAUCACUGGGCGUAAAGCGCACGUAGGCGGGUCUUUAAGUCGGGGGUGAAAUCCUGGAGCUCAACUCCAGAACUGCCUUCGAUACUGAGGAUCUCGAGUCCGGGAGAGGUGAGUGGAACUCCGAGUGUAGAGGUGAAAUUCGUAGAUAUUCGGAAGAACACCAGUGGCGAAGGCGGCUCACUGGCCCGGUACUGACGCUGAGGUGCGAAAGCGUGGGGAGCAAACGGG